rnacentral:rRNA from 1 species
GACGAACGCUGGCGGCGUGCUUAACACAUGCAAGUCGAACGCUGAACCCGCUUCGGUGGGGGAUGAGUGGCGAACGGGUGAGUAACACGUGGGCAACCUGCCCCCGGCUCUGGGAUAACUCCAAGAAAUUGGGGCUAAUACCGGAUGUGACCGCUGGCCGCAUGGUCUGGUGGUGGAAAGGGUUUCCGGCUGGGGAUGGGCCCGCGGCCUAUCAGCUUGUUGGUGGGGUAGUGGCCUACCAAGGCGACGACGGGUAGCCGGCCUGAGAGGGUGACCGGCCACACUGGGACUGAGACACGGCCCAGACUCCUACGGGAGGCAGCAGUGGGGAAUAUUGCGCAAUGGGCGGAAGCCUGACGCAGCGACGCCGCGUGGGGGAUGACGGCCUUCGGGUUGUAAACCUCUUUCAGCAGGGACGAAGCGCAAGAGACGGUACCUGCAGAAGAAGCACCGGCCAACUACGUG